GAUGAACGCUGGCGGCGUGCCUAAUACAUGCAAGUCGAGCGCACGGAGGUGGAACUUGUAUCAAUGAUGUUAGCGGCGGACGGGUGAGUAACACGUGGAUAAUCUACCUAUAAGCCUGGGAUAACUUCGGGAAACCGAUGCUAAUACCGGAUAAUAUCUUGAACCACAUGGUUCAAAAGUGAAAGAUGGUAUUGCUGUCACCUAUAGAUGGAUCCGCUCUGCUUUAGCAAGUUGGUAAGUAAACGGCUUACCAAGGCAACGAUGCAUAGCCGACCUGAGAGGGUGCUCGGCCACGCGGGAGCUGAGACACGGCCCAGACUCCUACGGGAGGCAGCAGUAGAGAAUCUGGCGCAAUGGGCGAAAGCCUGAGGGAGCAGCGCCGCGAGAGUGAAGAAGGUCUUCGGCGCGUAAAACCCUGUUAUGAGGGAAAAACAUAUGUGUAAGGAAAGGUGCACAUCUUGACGUUACCUAAUCAAAAAGCCACGCCUAACUACUU
rnacentral:rRNA from 1 species